GAAGCAGAGCCCGGCACUGUGGGGCUGCAGCUGUUGAUAAAUCCAUUCUGUACUGACGGCACAAAGCUGCGAUUGCCUGUUAGACACUAUUCAACACAUCAACAGACUUGUUAUUUUGGUUAUGACGAAUGUACGAUAAUUUCCCUCAAAAUACGAUAAUUUUAUGUCUAUAGUACGAUAAUCCUACAUUUCUCACCUGGUAACAUUGGCGGGAACAGAUUGUGUUCGCGCAUGCGCAGAGGAUAGUCAGGGCAAUUGCAAACGACAAGACAAAACUAGCUAGAGCAAACGGUGAAGAGCAAAGAAACAAUGUCAGUACGUAAACGGAGAUAUAUUCUAUCAGAUUCCGAACAUAGUGAUGUGGACACUGUAAGACGGAUGCCGAAUGAGACUCCAAAGUCAAGAGUUUCAUAGCAAGACCGUCAUCGGCGUCGCAUUGGGCAGGCGCCAUUGGUAGCAGCACCACCAACAUCGGUCUCAUGUCAGAAGAAAUAUGGACAUCAAUAUGUAAAGUACUUGAUGCAGUGUCCAACCUCGGAGUAAAAAUAGAGGAAAUCAGUCAAAAGAUUGAUGCACUGCAAGAGAAGGUCCUAACACUACUAGAAGGAGCUCAGAAUAUGCAAUUUAAAACAAAAACUCCAAAGGCAUUAUCUCGAGAGAUUAAAAGACUGCAUUCUGCUCUAGGGGAGGACAUGCAGUACAAAGGAAAUGAAAGGUGAGAAAGUAACAAACAACAGUUUGUUUGGAAAUAGGCUGCAUAGUUAAUCUGUGGCCCACUGUUUAGCACUACAGCUAUGUAACAGAAUGAUCUCUGGUUCUGUGGACUUUGCAUUGUUUCCAUUGUUUGAGUAGGUUUCUUCUGGUUUCCCCAUCACUAAAAUAACCACAAUAGGUUAAUCCCUCAGCACGUGAUUCUGACCAUUAGCCUGUAUAUUGUUGCUUCAUGUGCUUGCCCAUAUAGCUCUUUACAGGUUCCCCCAAUAGCAUCAAAGUAUGGGUCAAAUGCAGUGGACAUAAACCAGUGUGGACAAUCAAGUACACCUUCAUCUAAGGCUGCAUGUUUUCUAAUUCUUAUUCAACUGAUAGUGAAAGAAAGAAAUUGAAACAAUUGCCAAAAUGAACUAUACUCCAUGCUACUUGUGUAAGGAGCUCCUGGCUGUUAAUCACUCAAAACCCUAUCCACAUUUCUGUCCCAGUGACUAAUACUGAGCUGUGAUCAGCUGUCCAAAACACAAC